GUCUACAGCCAUACCACCCUGAAUGCGCCCGAUCUCGUCUGAUCUCAGAAGCUAAGCAGGGUCGGGCCUGGUUAGUACUUGGAUGGGAGAAUAUUCAUGAUUUCAAACUAUAGUUCUCUGUGUGCU
rfam:Cavia porcellus supercont2_8 genomic scaffold, whole genome shotgun sequence.